rnacentral:rRNA from 1 species
CUUAACGCGAAGAACCUUACCUACUCUUGACAUCCACGGAAUUUGGCAGAGAUGCCUUAGUGCCUUCGGGAACCGUGAGACAGGUGCUGCAUGGCUGUCGUCAGCUCGUGUUGUGAAAUGUUGGGUUAAGUCCCGCGACGAGCGCAACCCUUAUCCUUUGUUGCCAGCGGUUCGGCCGGGAACUCAAAGGAGACUGCCGGUGAUAAACCGGAGGAAGGUGGGGAUGACGUCAAGUCAUCAUGGCCCUUACGAGUAGGGCCACACACGUGCUACAAUGGCGUAUACAAAGAGAAGCGACCUCGCGAGAGCAAGCGGACCUCACAAAGUGCGUCGUAGUCCGGAUCGGAGUCUGCAACUCGACUCCGUGAAGUCGGAAUCGCUAGUAAUCGUGGAUCAGAAUGCCACGGUGAAUACGUUCCCGGGCCUUGUACACACCGA